AUUGAACGCUGGCGGCAUGCCUUACACAUGCAAGUCGAACGGCAGCACGGGAGCAAUCCUGGUGGCGAGUGGCGAACGGGUGAGUAAUAUAUCGGAACGUGCCCAGUCGUGGGGGAUAACGUAGCGAAAGCUACGCUAAUACCGCAUACGAUCUACGGAUGAAAGCGGGGGAUCGCAAGACCUCGCGCGAUUGGAGCGGCCGAUAUCAGAUUAGGUAGUUGGUGAGGUAAAGGCUCACCAAGCCGACGAUCUGUAGCUGGUCUGAGAGGACGACCAGCCACACUGGGACUGAGACACGGCCCAGACUCCUACGGGAGCAGCAGUGGGGAAUUUUGGACAAUGGGCGCAAGCCUGAUCCAGCAAUGCCGCGUGCAGGA
rnacentral:rRNA from 1 species